rnacentral:rRNA from 1 species
GAUGAACGCUGGCGGCGUGCUUUAACACAUGCAAGUCGAACGGGAAACAUUUUAUUGAAGCUUCGGCAGAUUUUAGUUUGUUUUCCAGUGGCGGACGGGUGAGUAAACACGUGGAUAAUCUGCCUCUCAGUCCGGGAUAGCACAUGGAAACAUGUGAUAAUACCGGAUACGAUGUGCCUGUCACAUGGCGGGUGCAGGAAAGGUCCUGCGGGAUCGCUGGGAGAUGAGUCCGCGGCCCAUUAGCUUGUUGGCGGGGUAAAGGCCCACCAAGGCGACGAUGGGUAGCCGGCCUGAGAGGGUGGACGGCCACAUUGGGACUGAGACACGGCCCAGACUCCUACGGGAGGCAGCAGCUAAGAAUCUUCCACAAUGGACGAAAGUCUGAUGGAGCGACGCCGCGUGAACGAUGAAGGCCGUAAGGUUGUAAAGUUCUUUUUGGUAGGAAGAAUAAGGCGGGCAGGGAAUGGCCUGCCGAUGACGUGAAUUCCAGAAUAAG